rnacentral:rRNA from 1 species
AUUGAACGCUGGCGGCCGGCCUAACACAUGCAAGUCGAGCGACCGGCGGACGGGUGAGUAAUGUCGGGGAAACUGCCUGAUGGAGGGGGAUAACUACUGGAAACGGUAGCUAAUACCGCAUACCAUCAGAUGUGCCUAGAUGGGACUAGUUAGUAGGUGGGGUACCGGCUCACCUAGGCGACGAUCCCUAGCUGGUCUGGGAGGAUGACCAGCCACACUGGAACUGAGACACGGUCCAGACUCCUACGGGAGGCAGCAGUGGGGAAUAUGGCACAAAGGGAGCAAGCCUGAUGCAGCCAUGCCGGGUGUGUGAAGAAGGCCUUCGGGUUGUAAAGCACUUUCAGCGGGGAGGCGUUACCCGCAGAAGAAGCACCGGCUAACUCCGUGCCAGCAGCCGCGGUAAUAC